rnacentral:lncRNA from 1 species
CAAAAGGCACUGGCACUCCAAAAAGCAGACAGAUGGGGCUGCUUGCUGCUCACCUGUUUGGCAUCGGCGCUGCACAGGUCUCAGCUGGAUGAUGGCCACCCAGGGCCUGGUGUGCGUGGCAUUGGUGGCCGUGCUGUGCGAUGGAGCAGAGAGGAGGGGCCUGCCUGGCGUUUUGGCUGUGCCUUCCGUGACAGCAGCACACUGUGCAGAGGAGACUUGAGAUGGGACAAGAAGCACGUGGACAGCCAGCUGGAACCUCUGUGAGCAGCAG